CAAUAUUCAUUCUUGUAACCUUGACCUUUUGCCCAGAGUCCAAAAUAUCUGCUGGUGAAUAAAAGAGAUAAUGAUGCGGCUGAAGCAGCUCUGAUUUGGUUAAGAAAAACAAGCGAUAUGUCUGAAGAGAUGGAGGCCAUGAAGAAAGAACGACAGGACCUCAGGAACUCACCAAAGUUUAGUGUGCUUGAUUUGAUGAGGACCAGUGAUUUGCGAUGGCCACUAAUUAUAAGCAUAGUACUACAAAUGUCUCAACAGUUUUCUGGCAUCAAUGCUGUGGUCUACUACUGUACAAGUAUUUUUAUCUCAGCUGGUCUGAGCAAGUAGACUUCUCAGUAUGCUACAGUAGCCACAGGUGUUGUAAAAGUCAUGAUGACCUUCAUAUCUGCCCUGAUCAUGGACCGGGCAGGC
rnacentral:sRNA from 1 species